rnacentral:rRNA from 1 species
UACGGAGGGAGCUAGCGUUAUUCGGAAUUACUGGGCGUAAAGCGCACGUAGGCGGUUUGUUAAGUCAGGGGUGAAAUCCCGGAGCUCAACUCCGGAACUGCCUUUGAUACUGGCAGCUAGAGUCCGGAAGAGGUAAGUGGAACUCCUAGUGUAGAGGUGGAAUUCGUAGAUAUUAGGAAGAACACCAGUGGCGAAGGCGGCUUACUGGUCCGGAACUGACGCUGAGGUGCGAAA